rnacentral:rRNA from 1 species
AUUGAACGCUGGCGGCAUGCCUUACACAUGCAAGUCGAACGGCAGCACGGGUGCUUGCACCUGGUGGCGAGUGGCGAACGGGUGAGUAAUGCAUCGGAACGUACCCGGAAGUGGGGGAUAACGUAGCGAAAGUUACGCUAAUACCGCAUAUUCUGUGAGCAGGAAAGAGGGGGAUCGCAAGACCUCUCGCUUUCGGAGCGGCCGAUGUCGGAUUAGCUAGUUGGCGGGGUAAAGGCCCACCAAGGCGACGAUCCGUAGCGGGUCUGAGAGGAUGAUCCGCCACACUGGGACUGAGACACGGCCCAGACUCCUACGGGAGGCAGCAGUGGGGAAUUUUGGACAAUGGGCGCAAGCCUGAUCCAGCCAUGCCGCGUGAGUGAAGAAGGCCUUCGGGUUGGUUAAAGAC